GCUCUGCAUUUGGAGCAGAGAGAGAUGAAAAACCCAAGGUCCAGAAAGGGGACGCAAUGGCCAUAGCAGCAGCAGAGCAGGGACUGAAUCCCAAGGCUGAUGACUUUGACUUCGGUGCUCCAGCAUUCGUCUUCCCUGGAUUUCUCAGCUCGCAGGCUCGAUAACUCUCUUCUCUCCCCAGACUUGUUGGCAGGCAAGAGGAAUAACUCAUGUGAGUCAAAAGCAAUUUGCAAACAUAAAUAAUUUUCAAUGCCAGGAGAGGAGACGGUGGGAAGAUGCAUGGAAGGUUGAGAGGAACACAGCCAGCCCCAAGUCUCCCUCGCCCUGCUGGGCACUUCCUCUUUCCACCUCGGCGCUGGUGGGAGAGUCGGAGUGCGCCAUAAACAAGGCAGGAAACGGCUAUCAUGAUGCUCACUUCCGCUCUUCCUAGAAGGGAUUCUGCUCGGCAAUCUCUCCACUCCCCACCCCCUGCCAUGCACAGGAUUUUGUACUCCCAGCUCCUCUGGAGGCUCAGAGGAGGAGAUGGUCCUGCUGCACUGGCCCAGCCUUCCUCUACCUGGCUUGUCUUUUUC
rnacentral:lncRNA from 10 species